ACAAGGUUCCAAGAGUAAGAUCUGAUACAGAAAGAUCCUGCGAGUUGGUGAUUGGGGGAAUCCCGCUGUGGGUCACUUUAGAUUCCCGCCAACGUGUGUCCUGGGUUAAGCCCGAAGUACUGGACUUUCUAAAGAGGGGGCCAGAGACAGA